UACGUAGGGUGCAAGCGUUGUCCGGAAUUAUUGGGCGUAAAGAGCUCGUAGGCGGUUUGUCGCGUCUGCUGUGAAAACCUGGGGCUCAACUCCGGGCCUGCAGCCGAUACGGGCAGACUAGAAUUCGGUAGGGGAGACUGGAAUUCCUGGUGUAGCGGUGAAAUGCGCAGAUAUCAGGAGGAACACCGGAGUGGCGAAAGG
rnacentral:rRNA from 1 species